GAUUUCUGCUUCGUAGGUGAGCCUGCGGAAGGAUCAUUA
rnacentral:rRNA from 1 species